rnacentral:tRNA from 1 species
UCCCUUGUAGCUAAGUUGGUAAAGAAUCUGCCUGCCGUGCAGGAGACCUAGGUUUGAUUCCUGGGUUGGGAC